rnacentral:rRNA from 1 species
UUUAAUUCGAAGCAACGCGCAGAACCUUACCAGCCUUUGACAUCCUGUGUUACCCAGAGAGAUUUGGGGUCCACUUCGGUGGCGCAGAGACAGGUGCUGCAUGGCUGUCGUCAGCUCGUGUCGUGAGAUGUUGGGUUAAGUCCCGCAACGAGCGCAACCUUCGCCCCUAGUUGCCAGCAUUAAGUUGGGCACUCUAGGGGGACUGCCGGUGAUAAGCCGCGAGGAAGGUGAAGAUGACGUCAAGUCCUCAUGGCCCUUACGGGCUGGGCUACACACGUGCUACAAUGGCGGUGACAAUGGGCAGCGAAGGAGCGAUCCGGAGCUAAUCUCCAAAAGCCGUCUCAGUUCGGAUUGCACUCUGCAACUCGAGUGCAUGAAGUUGGAAUCGCUAGUAAUCGUGGAUCAGCAUGCCA